rnacentral:rRNA from 1 species
GAUGAACGCUGGCGGUGUGCCUAAUACAUGCAAGUCGAGCGAACAGACGAGGAGCUUACUCCUCUGACGUUAGCGGCGGACGGGUGAGUAACACGUGGAUAACCUACCUAUAAGACUGGGAUAACUUCGGGAAACCGGAGCUAAUACCGGAUAACAUGUUGAACCGCAUGGUUCGACAGUGAAAGACGGUCUUGCUGUCACUUAUAGAUGGAUCCGCGUCGCAUUAGCUAGUUGGUAAGGUAACGGCUUACCAAGGCAACGAUGCGUAGCCGACCUGAGAGGGUGAUCGGCCACACUGGAACUGAGACACGGUCCAGACUCCUACGGGAGGCAGCAGUAGGGAAUCUUCCGCAAUGGGCGAAAGCCUGACGGAGCAACGCCGCGUGAGUGAAGAAGGUCUUCGGAUCGUAAAACUCUGUUAUUAGGGAAGAACAAAUGUGUAAGUAACUAUGCACGUCUUGACGGUACCUAAUCAGAAAGCCACGGCUAACUACGUG